GGGCGCGUGGCGAAACUGGCAGACGCGCUAGCUUCAGGAGCUAGUGCCCGCAGGGGCUUGGAGGUUCAAAUCCUCUCGCGCCCA
rnacentral:tRNA from 2 species